UACGGGGGGAGCAAGCGUUGUUCGGAUUUACUGGGCGUAAAGGGCGCGUAGGCGGUAGCACAAGUCAGUUGUGAAAUCUCCGGGCUUAACUCGGAAAGGUCAACUGAUACUGUGCGACUAGAGUGCAGAAGGGGCAACUGGAAUUCUCGGUGUAGCGGUGAAAUGCGUAGAUAUCAGGAGGAACACCGAUGGCGAAGGCAGGUCUCUGGGCCAUAACUGACGCUGAGAAGCGAAAGCAUGGGGAGCGAACAGG
rnacentral:rRNA from 1 species